CAGUGUUUAAAAAAUUUUCCAGAUAGCAUGGAAGGAGGAAGGAAAAUAUGUAAUGUGUUUCUUUGUCUAGCUUGCUUUGUAAGUGGGAAGCAGUAUCAUGCAUUUCACUUUACAUCCAAUUUUAUUCUUUUUCUAGGACAGAAAAGGGAGAUAUAAACAUUAGAAAGCCUGUGAAACAGAUGGUGAUUUAACUGGUAAAGUUAUUAUAGAUA
rnacentral:lncRNA from 1 species